rnacentral:rRNA from 1 species
GGCCCAAGCGACUGUUUAUCAAAAACACAGGUCUCUGCUAAACCGUAAGGUGAUGUAUAGGGGCUGACGCCUGCCCGGUGCUGGAAGGUUAAGAGGAGUGGUUAGCUUCUGCGAAGCUACGAAUCGAAGCCCCAGUAAACGGCGGCCGUAACUAUAACGGUCCUAAGGUAGCGAAAUUCCUUGUCGGGUAAGUUCCGACCCGCACGAAAGGCGUAACGAUUUGGGCACUGUCUCAACGAGAGACUCGGUGAAAUCAUAGUACCUGUGAAGAUGCAGGUUACCCGCGACAGGACGGAAAGACCCCGUGGAGCUUUACUGUAGCCUGAUAUUGAAAUUCGGCACAGCUUGUACAGGAUAGGU